ACCAGACUCCUACGGGAGGCAGCAGUGGGGAAUAUUGCACAAUGGGGGAAACCCUGAUGCAGCGACGCCGCGUGAGUGAAGAAGUAUUUCGGUACGUAAAGCUCUAUCAGCAGGGAAGAAAAAAAGUCCUUUGGACUUUGGACGGUACCUGACCAAGAAGCCCCGGCUACCUACGUGCCAGCAGCCGCGGUAAUACGUAGGGGGCAAGCGUUAUCCGGAUUUACUGGGUGUAAAGGGAGCGUAGACGGCAGCACAAGUCUGGAGUGAAAUGCCGGGGCUCAACCCCGGAACUGCUUUGGAAACUGUGUUGCUGGAGUGCUGGAGAGGCAAGCGGAAUUCCUAGUGUAGCGGUGAAAUGCGUAGAUAUUAGGAAGAACACCAGUGGCGAAGGCGGCUUGCUGGACAGUAACUGACGUUGAGGCUCGAAAGCGUGGGGAGCAAACAGGAUUAGAUACCCUAGUA
rnacentral:rRNA from 1 species